UGUUUCUGCAAUGUACUCUGGUUUACUGGAUGAGAGCGCAGUGAUUGGUUGCUUCUUGGUGCACCAGGAGAUUGCAGCAUCAUUGAAUUUGAACACAUAACCUGAAGUGCUUCUCCUAUCAAUUAGAUCUCCACACCAAUCACUGUCUGAAUAUCCUAUGAGCUCAUUCACUUCACUCUUAGCUCCAUAAGGAAAUAACAGGCCAUACUCCAUAGUCCCUCUUACAUAUCUAAGGAUCCUCUUAGCAGCUAUCAGAUGAGGUUUCCUAGGAUCAUGCAUGAAUUUGCUAAUCACACUUACUGAGUAGCAAAUAUCGGGUCUACUAUUACAUAGGAACAAAUAUUCUAAAGAUUGAGUCUUGGAGCAAAAGAAAGGAGAAUUGGAGUUGAAUCGUGCCAAAAAUAUAAAAGAUCUUAUACAAAAAUAUCUGGUGCAAGGAUUGAGGACAAAAAUAUGAAUAUCUCAUACAAAAAUAUCAUGUGCAAAGAAUUUGAAGAUCUUGUACAAUAAUAUAAAAGUGGCGCGCCC
rnacentral:lncRNA from 1 species